rnacentral:rRNA from 1 species
GCUUAACACAUGCAAGUCGAGCGAGAAUCGUUUAUUGAAGGCUUCGGCUGGAAAUAGAUGAGGAAAGCGGCGAACGGGUGAGUAACGCGUGGGCAACCUGGCCUUAAGAAAAGGAUAGCCCCCGGAAACGGGGAGUAAUACUUUAUGAGAAUGAGAGAGGGCAUCCUACUUUCAUUCAAAGCGCAAGCGCUUAAGGAUGGGCCCGCGUAUCAUUAGCUAGUUGGUGAGAUAACAGCCCACCAAGGCAACGAUGAUUAGCCGGUCUGAGAGGGCGAACGGCCACAUUGGAACUGAGAGACGGUCCAAACACCUACGGGAGGCAGCAGUGGGGAAUAUUGCGCAAUGGAGAAGAACUCUGACGCAGCAAUACCGCGUGAGCGAAGAAGGUCUUCGGAUCGUAAAGCUCUGUUAUCAGGGAAGAAGAAAAUGACGGUACCUGAUGAGCAAGUCCCGGCUAACUACGUGCCAGCAGCCGCAGUAA